CGAAGGUCCGCGUGUAAAAGUACCCAGUCCCUGGUAACCUGACACUUCCCUUUUAAAAGCCACCUUUUGUCUAUCUCUGGCCUGCCACGAUUCUUCCUGUGCUCCAUAGGAGGACCCAUUGGACCCCCGGGCUGGCUGCAGGGCCCACACCUGGGUUAGACCUCGCACAGGGACGCUGCUGCCACUGUAAUAAAGCGUGCCUACACGCUUCUGAAACUGGUGUAGGAACAACCUCAGUUCUGUGAAAGGCGGACGCAGCAGGACAGAAUCUCCGUGGACAUCUGUCUGGAGGAGCAAUUUUACUGCGACAUUUUAAAGAAACAAAUUUAAUUGAUUUCCAAGGCUGG
rnacentral:lncRNA from 1 species